rnacentral:rRNA from 1 species
UUAAGCGACUAAGCGUACACGGUGGAUGCCCUGGCAGUCAGAGGCGAUGAAGGACGUGCUAAUCUGCGAUAAGCGUCGGUAAGGUGAUAUGAACCGUUAUAACCGGCGAUUUCCGAAUGGGGAAACCCAGUGUGUUUCGACACACUAUCAUUAACUGAAUCCAUAGGUUAAUGAUGCGAACCGGGGGAACUGAAACAUCUAAGUACCCCGAGGAAAAGAAAUCAACCGAGAUUCCCCCAGUAGCGGCGAGCGAACGGGGAGGAGCCCAGAGCCUGAAUCAGUGUGUGUGUUAGUGGAAGCGUCUGGAAAGGCGCGCGAUACAGGGUGACAGCCCCGUACACAAAAAUGCACAUACUGUGAGCUCGAUGAGUAGGGCGGGACACGUGGUAUCCUGUCUGAAUAUGGGGGGACCAUCCUCCAAGGCUAAAUACUCCUGACUGACCGAUAGUGAACCAGUACCGUGAGGGAAAGGCGAAAAGAACCCCGGCGAGGGGAGUGAAAAAGAACCUGAAACCGUGUACGUACAAGCAGUGGGAGCCUCUUUAUGGGGUGACUGCGUACCUUUUGUAUAAUGGGUCAGCGACUUAUAUUCUGUAGCAAGGUUAACCGAAUAGGGGAGCCGAAGGGAAACCGAGUCUUAACUGGGCGUUAAGUUGCAGGGUAUAGACCCGAAACCCGGUGAUCUAGCCAUGGGCAGGUUGAAGGUUGGGUAACACUAACUGGAGGACCGAACCGACUAAUGUUGAAAAAUUAGCGGAUGACUUGUGGCUGGGGGUGAAAGGCCAAUCAAACCGGGAGAUAGCUGGUUCUCCCCGAAAGCUAUUUAGGUAGCGCCUCGUGAAUUCAUCUCCGGGGGUAGAGCACUGUUUCGGCAAGGGGGUCAUCCCGACUUACCAACCCGAUGCAAACUGCGAAUACCGGAGAAUGUUAUCACGGGAGACACACGGCGGGUGCUAACGUCCGUCGUGAAGAGGGAAACAACCCAGACCGCCAGCUAAGGUCCCAAAGUCAUGGUUAAGUGGGAAACGAUGUGGGAAGGCCCAGACAGCCAGGAUGUUGGCUUAGAAGCAGCCAUCAUUUAAAGAAAGCGUAAUAGCUCACUGGUCGAGUCGGCCUGCGCGGAAGAUGUAACGGGGCUAAACCAUGCACCGAAGCUGCGGCAGCGACGCUUAUGCGUUGUUGGGUAGGGGAGCGUUCUGUAAGCCUGUGAAGGUGUACUGUGAGGUAUGCUGGAGGUAUCAGAAGUGCGAAUGCUGACAUAAGUAACGAUAAAGCGGGUGAAAAGCCCGCUCGCCGGAAGACCAAGGGUUCCUGUCCAACGUUAAUCGGGGCAGGGUGAGUCGACCCCUAAGGCGAGGCCGAAAGGCGUAGUCGAUGGGAAACAGGUUAAUAUUCCUGUACUUGGUGUUACUGCGAAGGGGGGACGGAGAAGGCUAUGUUGGCCGGGCGACGGUUGUCCCGGUUUAAGCGUGUAGGCUGGUUUUCCAGGCAAAUCCGGAAAAUCAAGGCUGAGGCGUGAUGACGAGGCACUACGGUGCUGAAGCAACAAAUGCCCUGCUUCCAGGAAAAGCCUCUAAGCAUCAGGUAACAUCAAAUCGUACCCCAAACCGACACAGGUGGUCAGGUAGAGAAUACCAAGGCGCUUGAGAGAACUCGGGUGAAGGAACUAGGCAAAAUGGUGCCGUAACUUCGGGAGAAGGCACGCUGAUAUGUAGGUGAAGCGACUUGCUCGUGGAGCUGAAAUCAGUCGAAGAUACCAGCUGGCUGCAAGUGUUUAUUAAAAACACAGCACUGUGCAAACACGAAAGUGGACGUAUACGGUGUGACGCCUGCCCGGUGCCGGAAGGUUAAUUGAUGGGGUUAGCGGUAACGCGAAGCUCUUGAUCGAAGCCCCGGUAAACGGCGGCCGUAACUAUAACGGUCCUAAGGUAGCGAAAUUCCUUGUCGGGUAAGUUCCGACCUGCACGAAUGGCGUAAUGAUGGCCAGGCUGUCUCCACCCGAGACUCAGUGAAAUUGAACUCGCUGUGAAGAUGCAGUGUACCCGCGGCAAGACGGAAAGACCCCGUGAACCUUUACUAUAGCUUGACACUGAACAUUGAGCCUUGAUGUGUAGGAUAGGUGGGAGGCUUUGAAGUGUGGACGCCAGUCUGCAUGGAGCCGACCUUGAAAUACCACCCUUUAAUGUUUGAUGUUCUAACGUUGGCCCCUGAUCGGGGUUGCGGACAGUGUCUGGUGGGUAGUUUGACUGGGGCGGUCUCCUCCUAAAGAGUAACGGAGGAGCACGAAGGUUGGCUAAUCCUGGUCGGACAUCAGGAGGUUAGUGCAAUGGCAUAAGCCAGCUUGACUGCGAGCGUGACGGCGCGAGCAGGUGCGAAAGCAGGUCAUAGUGAUCCGGUGGUUCUGAAUGGAAGGGCCAUCGCUCAACGGAUAAAAGGUACUCCGGGGAUAACAGGCUGAUACCGCCCAAGAGUUCAUAUCGACGGCGGUGUUUGGCACCUCGAUGUCGGCUCAUCACAUCCUGGGGCUGAAGUAGGUCCCAAGGGUAUGGCUGUUCGCCAUUUAAAGUGGUACGCGAGCUGGGUUUAGAACGUCGUGAGACAGUUCGGUCCCUAUCUGCCGUGGGCGCUGGAGAACUGAGGGGGGCUGCUCCUAGUACGAGAGGACCGGAGUGGACGCAUCACUGGUGUUCGGGUUGUCAUGCCAAUGGCACUGCCCGGUAGCUAAAUGCGGAAGAGAUAAGUGCUGAAAGCAUCUAAGCACGAAACUUGCCCCGAGAUGAGUUCUCCCUGAGACUUUAAGUCUCCUGAAGGAACGUUGAAGACGACGACGUUGAUAGGCCGGGUGUGUAAGCGCAGCGAUGCGUUGAGCUAACCGGUACUAAUGAACCGUGAGGCUUAACCUU